CUGAUAAGUAAGGUGUCUGAUUGUUACAGGCAUCUGAGCACGUUAAAUUCACACUGUCAUUUACGUAAAGCAAAGUGAAACUAGUCUUUUUUCACGCCGUGACUUUUAUCCCACCAAGCAGAAUCGACUUGAACUAAAAGCUAUGUGCAACAUGGCGAAGGUCUUGCCUUUCUCCACGAGUUGAUCGGUGCCGUGUCACGAAGAUGCCUCUUGCCGAAAUGUUGUCUAUUGUUACCUGUAACCGUCUUAUCCCAUGACCACAGACAAUUCAAUAGGUAGCAGAUCUCUGCUUAUUGGUUAGAGAAUUUGAGAACACAGCUAAUAAGUCUUCAUUGCCGUCAUGCAAAUGGUUUUGUUGCAGCCAGCUGGUGAAAGGGGUGAUCAAGCUAAGUUAAGCUGUUGCUGCAUGCAGUCUAUCGACCAUAGACUAUGGUGCUGGUGUUAUUCUGAAGUGUGGAAGUGUUACCUUUGAAGUGUAACAACAGCAAGAACACUUUUUGCAAAGGAGUUCAUCGUCAGUUUGAUGUUUGAGCUGUUUAUGGCGUUACUGUUUGGUGUACAGUGGUUUUGCUGUCCCUUUCUAGUUGAGAGAUGCUCUGAAAUGGAGUUUGUGCAGACUUGCAGUUCAACAUCACACUUAAAUGUGUCAUUUGUAUAUGUUUGUGUCUGUGCAGUAAAUGCCGUGUUGAAGAGUCGGGUUAUUUAAAUAGUCAAUGUUGCCUGUUGGCUGUCGGUCUUGUUUUAUCGGCUGCAUUAUGUCGAUAUGUCGUCUCUUGUUACCUGUACAGGCGUUGAGUUUAAUCACUUGCUGCCGUUGCCUUGAAACACCGGUGAAACUGAGGAGAGGUUACUGAAAUUCAAGACUCGUCAAUAAAUUAUGUAGAUGUAGAAAAAUUACAAGUGCAUAUCUGGGCUCCCUUCUUCAGUGGCCCCGUUUCCCUAAAUAACCACUAACCAACGCCCGCCGGUGGUC